AGAAUGAACGCUGGCGGCAUGCCUAACACAUGCAAGUCGAACGAAGGCUUCGGCCUUAGUGGCGCACGGGUGCGUAACGCGUGGGAAUCUACCCUUAGGUUCGGAAUAACAGUUGGAAACGACUGCUAAUACCGGAUGAUGACGUAAGUCCAAAGAUUUAUCGCCUAGGGAUGAGCCCGCGUAGGAUUAGCUAGUUGGUGUGGUAAAGGCGCACCAAGGCGACGAUCCUUAGCUGGUCUGAGAGGAUGAUCAGCCACACUGGGACUGAGACACGGCCCAGACUCCUACGGGAGGCAGCAGUGGGAAUAUUGGACAAUGGGCGAAAGCCUGAUCCAGCAAUGCCGCGUGAGUGAUGAAGGCCUUAGGGUUGUAAAGCUCUUUACCCGGGAUGAUAAUGACAGUACCGGGAGAAUAAGCUCCGGCUAACUCCGUGCCAGCAGCCGC
rnacentral:rRNA from 1 species